AGUGAACGCUGGCGGUAGGCCUAACACAUGCAAGUCGAACGGCAGCACAGUAAGAGCUUGCUCUUACGGGUGGCGAGUGGCGGACGGGUGAGGAAUACAUCGGAAUCUACUUUUUCGUGGGGGUUAACGUAGGGAAACUUACGCUAAUACCGCAUACGCCCUACGGGUGAAAGCAGGGGAUCUUCGGACCUUGCGCGAUUGAAUGAGCCGAUGUCGGAUUAGCUAGUUGGCGGGGUAAAGGCCCACCAAGGCGACGAUCCGUAGCUGGUCUGAGAGGAGGGUCAGCGACACGAGAACGUGAACAGGGACAAGACGCCUACGGGAGGGAGCAGUGGGGAAUAUUGGACAGUGGGCGGAAGCCUGAUCCAGCCAGACCGCGUGGGUGGAGAAGGCCUUCGGGUCGGAAAGACGGUUUGUUGGGAAAGAAAAGCAUCAGGUUAAUACGCCGCUGGUCUGACGGUACCCAAAGAAUAAGCACCGGCUAACUACGUG
rnacentral:rRNA from 1 species